rnacentral:rRNA from 1 species
GACGAACGCUGGCGGCGUGCUUAACACAUGCAAGUCGAACGGAAAGGCCCUGCUUUUGUGGGGUGCUCGAGUGGCGAACGGGUGAGUAACACGUGAGUAACCUGCCCUUGACUUUGGGAUAACUUCAGGAAACUGGGGCUAAUAUCGGAUAGGAGCUCCUGCUGCAUGGUGGGGGUUGGAAAGUUUCGGCGGUUGGGGAUGGACUCGCGGCUUAUCCGCUUGUUGGUGGGGUAGUGGCUUACCAAGGCUUUGACGGGUAGCCGGCCUGAGAGGGUGACCGGCCACAUUGGGACUGAGAUACGGCCCAGACUCCUACGUGAGGCAGUAGUGGGGAAUAUUGCACAAUGGGCGGAAGCCUGAUGCAGCAACGCCGCGUGCGGGAUGACGGCCUUCGGGUUGUAAACCGCUUUCGCCUGUGACGAAGCGUGAGUGACGGUAAUGGGUAAAGAAGCACCGGCUAACUACGUG